AAGAGAACAACAGUCCCUUCUUAACUAUGAAGUGGUCUCUUCAGCACUGCCCCCAGUGAACCUCAAGUGCUCUACAGCAUGAACCAUACCUCACUCCAUGUUUUGCAAAACAUUAUACAGGCACUAUAGGAGCUAAAUAUUGAUGGUGUCCUGUACCACAUACAGAACUGGGACCACUUGUUACUGUUUGUGUAAUAAGACACUGCAAAAGGACCACUGCAUCUCCUGCCCUUAGCUCUGCCUUUGGAUGCACUUAGGACACCACCUCACCCAAGCACAGCACCACCAGUAUGCAUGUCCACCACCAACACACCAGUACCACAGAGCUAAUAAAUUACUAUCAACGCAUG